rnacentral:rRNA from 1 species
GGGCCGCACGCGCGCUACACUGACGGAGCCAGCGAGUCUAACCUUGGCCGAGAGGUCUUGGUAAUCUUGUGAAACUCCGUCGUGCUGGGGAUAGAGCUUUGUAAUUUUUGCUCUUCAACGAGGAAUUCCUAGUAAGCGCAAGUCAUCAGCUUGCGUUGAUUACGUCCC